UACGUAGGCAGCGAGCGUUGUUCGGAGUUACUGGGCGUAAAGGGCGUGUAGGCGGUUAUUUAAGUUUGGUGUGAAAUCUCCCGGCUCAACCGGGAGGGUGCGCCGAAUACUGAAUGACUUGGAGUGCGGGAGAGGAAAGUGGAAUUCCUGGUGUAGCGGUGAAAUGCGUAGAUAUCAGGAGGAACACCGGUGGUGUAGACGGCUUUCUGGACCGUAACUGACGCUGAGACACGAAAGCGUGGGUAGCAAACAGG
rnacentral:rRNA from 1 species